rnacentral:rRNA from 1 species
AAUCAACGCUGGCGGCGUGCCUCAGACAUGCAAGUCGAACGAUUAAAGCUCUCUUCGGAGAGUGUAUAGAGUGGCGCACGGGUGAGUAACACGUAAGUAAUCUACCCUCGAGUGGGGAAUAACGUCCGGAACGGACGCUAAUACCGCAUAAUGCAGCGGCACCGCAAGGUGACAGUUGUUAAAGAUUUAUCGCUUGAGGAGGAGCUUGCGGCAGAUUAGCUAGUUGGUAAGGUAAUGGCUUACCAAGGCUACGAUCUGUAACCGGUCUAAGAGGACGGUCGGUCACACUGACACUGAAUAACGGGUCAGACCCC